rnacentral:rRNA from 1 species
AUUGAACGCUGGCGGCAUGCCUUACACAUGCAAGUCGAACGGCAGCACGGGAGCAAUCCUGGUGGCGAGUGGCGAACGGGUGAGUAAUAUAUCGGAACGUGCCCAGUCGUGGGGGAUAACGCAGCGAAAGCUGUGCUAAUACCGCAUACGAUCUACGGAUGAAAGCGGGGGAUCGCAAGACCUCGCGCGAUUGGAGCGGCCGAUAUCAGAUUAGCUAGUUGGUGAGGUAAAGGCUCACCAAGGCGACGAUCUGUAGCUGGUCUGAGAGGACGACCAGCCACACUGGAACUGAGACACGGUCCAGACUCCUACGGGAGGCAGCAGUGGGGAAUUUUGGACAAUGGGCGCAAGCCUGAUCCAGCAAUGCCGCGUGCAGGAUGAAGGCCUUCGGGUUGUAAACUGCUUUUGUACGGAACGAAACGGUGAGCUCUAAUACAGUUUGCUAAUGACGGUACCGUAAGAAUAAGCACCGGCUAACUACGUGCCAGCAGCCGCCGCCGUAA